CCUACGGGGGGCUGCAGUGGGGAAUUUUGGACAAUGGGGGCAACCCUGAUCCAGCCAUGCCGCGUGCGGGAAGAAGGCCUUCGGGUUGUAAACCGCUUUUGUCAGGAGAGAAAUCUCUUGGGCUAAUACCCUGAGAGGAUGACGGUACCUGAAGAAUAAGCACCGGCUAACUACGUGCCAGCAGCCUCGGUAAUACGUAGGGUGCAAACGUUAAUCGGAAUUACUGGAGGCGGUGCGGCAAGACAGGGGUGAAAUCCCCGGGCGUAACCUGGGAACUGCACGUGUGACUGCACGGCUAGAGUACGGCAGAGGGGGAUGGAAUGCCGCGUGUAGCAGUGAAAUGCGUAGAUAUGCGGAGGAACACCGAUGGCGAAGGCAGUCCCCUGGGCAUGUACUGACGCUCAUGCACGAAAGCGUGGGGAGCAAACAGGAUUAGAUACCCCUGUAGUC
rnacentral:rRNA from 1 species